rnacentral:rRNA from 1 species
AUACAUAUGUCUUAAAUUUAUAUAAAUAUAAUAUAAAAAAAAGUGAUAAUUGAUAUAAUUAAUAUAAUUAGAGUAGUUGAGUAUAGUAGUUGUAGGUAAAAUUUAAAAUUAUUAUUAUUAAUCUAAUUUCUCUAAUAUUUAAACUUUGAAAAUAAGAUAAAUUGAAAACUAGGAUUAGAUACCCUAUUAUUCUUUAUUUUAAAUUUUUUUUUAUUUGAGUAGUGUAAAUAGUGAUACACUAACUUAUAUUUGAAACUUAAAAAGCUUGGCGGUGUUAUAUAUCCAUUCAGGGGAGCUUGUUUAUUAAUUUGAUAAUCCCCAAUUAACUCUUACUUUUUUUUGAAUAUAUUUAUUAACAGUUUGUAUAUUGCUGUCAUCAGUUUAUUUCGUAAGAAUUAUUUAAAAAACUUGAAAGUAGAAUUUACUAAU